rnacentral:rRNA from 1 species
GACAGAGGGUGCGAACGUUGCUCGGAAUUACUGGGCGUAAAGCGCGUGUAGGCGGGUAGUCAAGUCAGGUGUGAAAGCCCUGGGCUCAACCCAGGAACUGCACUUGAAACUGGCUGCCUUGAGUGUUGGAGAGGGAAGCGGAAUUCCUGGUGUAGAGGUGAAAUUCGUAGAUAUCAGGAGGAACACCGGUGGCGAAGGCGGCUUCCUGGACAACUACUGACGCUGAGACGCGAAAGCGUGGGGAGCAAAC